CAUAUGGACUUCCACAUGGAGCUUCUAUGGGUAAGAGACUUUAAGGAUCCCACAAUUUCUUUGGCAUGUGUCUGCUGGUUCUGACAGCAACUUGCUCCCUUUUUUUUUUCUGCCUAUCCCAGUAGGUGUGGUGAAAGCAGGAAGUUACCAGCCAAGAAAUGAAGACCAGUCUUUAGUUAUACAACUGAAGCUUCUUCUUAAAAAGGCAGGAGGCAGGUGCACGGCACUAUGUGGGACAAAGGGAAGGUACUUGGGGCAGUCUGGCUCUCCAUUGGGCUCCCAAGCUUCUGCUGCCUUGGAUGACACUCAUACAACUGGCAUUCCCACCACAUUUUCUCGAAGACCUGCUGGAACAUCACAAAUUCAACAAGAAGUUCUGCCAAUGGUGAGACAGAAUCAGUCCAACAGUGAAGCACGAAGAUGAACAGAAGGCUUUUACCUGUUGCAAAGGACAUCUGUGAAUCAGAGAUAAAAUGGGAUAAAUCAAGAGGGCCUUGCCUUUCUUCUCAGCACAAAAAGAGGUUGGGACUGGCAAUACCCUGGGACUGGCAGGUUCUUCCUUGGAACUCUCAAUCAUCCCUCUAAAGACCAUGAUUUUGAGACCCUGGGGCCUUGCUAUACACUCAGACUGCACACACAGCGAAGGAGAAUAUAUAGCAAAUGCAAAGUGAGAAAUCCUUCCUC